rnacentral:tRNA from 1 species
CAGGGGAUAGUUUAAAAUUAAAAAUAUUAAUUUUGGGGAUUAAUGAUAAAGAUAUAAAUUUCUUUUUUCCUGA